UAAUAUCGCGAUCACGCCAUCGCCCCUCUCCCCGCCACUUCAAGCUGCAGGCCAUCAGUAGUGUAUAUAAAGGAGUCCGAGAUCUCGAUUCCGGCAUAACACAUUUUUUGUGCAAAUAUAUUCUUUGUUUUCUCUUUUAAACCUAAAAAACCAACCAACAAAUCAAAAAUGGGCGCUGAAAAGGUAUCCAUGAACAUCGUUGUCGUCGGACAAGUCCAAUCUGCCAAGGCCAUCAAGACCGUCGCCAAGGCCUCCCCAGCCACCAACCAAUUGAUGAACUGUUAAUUCAUGUAGUCAAUCCAUUUCAAACUCAAAAAUGCCAUAGUCCAAACAAUACAAUAAUAUGUAACUCAUAAUAUCAGUAUUGCCACCGCAAAAUAAAUCAGUCACAUCCGAUGUACAUACAACAA